UUAAAUUGAAGAGUUUGAUCAUGGCUCAGAUUGAACGCUGGCGGCAGGCCUAACACAUGCAAGUCGAACGGUAACAGGAAUCAGCUUGCUGAUUUGCUGACGAGUGGCGGACGGGUGAGUAAUGUCUGGGAAACUGCCUGAUGGAGGGGG
rnacentral:rRNA from 2 species